UUCUAAGUGGCAAGGCCAUGGAGGUCAGAAGAUUGCUUGCACUCUACUAUUUCUCUGUUCGUAAUUCCUUGCCAUCCCAGAACUUCUAUCUACUGCCCCUGUAUUGAAGCAGCAUUCUUCAGUAGAACUUUAUUUCCAUGAUAGAUGUAUUCUCUAUCUGCACUGUCCAAAAUGGU
rnacentral:lncRNA from 1 species